GUCUGGAGUCCAGUCUAUGGUCUGAAAUUAUUUUGGUUGAAAAUAGCGGAAACACCGCGUCACGGACACGGCGCAUGCGCACUGCGCGCUUGUAAACCACGCAUGCGCACUGCGCGCUUUAAAUGCGGUCUGCGAGCGCGUAACCGUCCCAGUCCGUUUGCAGCAUUGAGGCACCAAUGUGUCUUGCUGGCUUCACGUGAAGGAUAAUGCAGGCCAAGAGCCUCACUUCCGGCUCUUGGUCACGUGGUUAUUACCAGCGUAGGAGGUGGGACUCGCGCCCUUUUUCUGCAGAAGACCUGAGCCCCAUUCACUCCAAUGGAAAAUUGUAUGAUCAGCCAACAGCAGAAAGGUGAAUUAGAUGACAUGAAGAUGCACAUCCACUUGUGUACAUGAAGUGUAAUCCUUUCUUACAUUAAGUGAGUGAGGCCUGCACCAUCAUGGUAUUUGGGAACAUCAUGAUCCUGAGGCCCAGUGGGUGGGUGUUCCAACACUUUUUUGGGUGUGUCCCCCCGUCCCCCCUAAGGUUGUAAAACUGAGAUCAUGGCAUGAAGCAUCUUUGAAUGGGCUCAAGGGGAGGUGCCCAAGGGCUAUCAUGGAUUGCUAUAACAUUCAAGCUGAGGUGUUGAUUGGUGGUCAAGUUGCAGUCAGAUUAAUGGGAGGGAUAGCAGUGUGACCAUUGGUGGAUUUAAGGUGGCCACCCUGCUUGACCCCCGGGGGUGUGAAGGUGUUCCAGGAAUGUUACACUGCAUGUGUGCACACACAGGCCUUGUUUUUCUGACUGAAGUCGUAAAUGAGGCUGUUAAAAUCCAAUUUGCUGGCAUGCCAUCACCAGUUGGAAACAGUGUAGUUUCCUUAUAAACUGCAGCAGUGACCAUGCCGUUUUCUCAUUUUCUCAAAGUUCUCCAAAUUGUCUCAAUUUUGUCCAUUUAAAAUCUUCCUCCAGCUGCAUAUAUCUUAUGGAGUUUAGCUGUGCCCGGAUGAAGAUCUAGUCUGGGGAAGGAUGGAACAUCAUUCAAAAAUGCAAACACCUGUGGAACCGAUGCAGUUGUUUCAACUGUGGCUACUGUAGCUGUAGGCAUGAUUGAUUAGAUCAGGGGUUCCCAAAUUUUUCCAGUGCAAGGCCCCCUUCAGUCAAAUGUUAAUGGCAUUAACAUUUGACUGAGGCCCUCCUUUUGCAAGAUGUCUUUAAAACACAUUAAAAAUACAGAUUUUUGGAAUAUUAAUUUAAAAAAGGGGAUAUAAUCAUCUCACAUCAUUUACAUUAGGGGUGGGUGGUUGUCUUGAGUGAGAAUUUAUCUUUCACACCAAAUUGGUGAGGACCCCUGGUUUGAAAACCACUGGAUUAGAUUCAGUAGCCUGGUGAUAUCCAGUCAAGUUAGGGGUUUUCAUUUUUGUACAUAUCCAUGCCCAUAUAUUGACUUUAUAUGAUGAGUACAUUUAUGAUGGGUGUAUAUCUUAAAUUGCUGGAUGU
ensembl:lncRNA